AGUGAACGCUGGCGGUAGGCCUAACACAUGCAAGUCGAACGGCAGCACAGUAAGAGCUUGCUCUUACGGGUGGCGAGUGGCGGACGGGUGAGGAAUACAUCGGAAUCUACUUUUUCGUGGGGGAUAACGUAGGGAAACUUACGCUAAUACCGCAUACGACCUACGGGUGGAAGCAGGGGAUCUUCGGACCUUGCGCGAUUGAAUGAGCCGAUGUCGGAUUAGCUAGUUGGCUGGGUAAAGGCCCACCAAGGCGACGAUCCGUAGCUGGUCUGAGAGGAUGAUCAGCCACACUGGAACUGAGACACGGUCCAGACUCCUACGGGAGGCAGCAGUGGGGAAUAUUGGACAAUGGGCGAAAGCCUGAUCCAGCCAUACCGCGUGGGUGAAGAAGGCCUUCGGGUUGUAAAGCCCUUUUGUUGGGAAAGAAAAGCAGCAGGUUAAUACCCCGCUGUUCUGACGGUACCCAAAGAAUAAGCACCGGCUAACUUCGUG
rnacentral:rRNA from 1 species